UGUGUGCUGUUUUCGAAAAAUGGCAGUCAGAGCUCCUGCAGAGGCCUCUCUUAAGGGUCCCUGGCAAAAGGGGCCAUUGUUCCAGGCUCCAGUUGCAUGACCGUUUGGAGUUUGAUGACCUCAAGGCAAGAACAGAAGACAAACCAGGCUAUUAGAAAAUAUGUAUCAAAAUGAAACAAGGAGGAGAGCCAUGGAGAAAGAGAGAUGGAAUCACGGA
rnacentral:lncRNA from 1 species